rnacentral:rRNA from 1 species
UACGUAGGGGGCAAGCGUUGUCCGGAUUUAUUGGGCGUAAAGAGCGUGUAGGCGGCCAGGUAGGUCAGCUGUGAAAACUGGAGGCUCAACCUCCAGCCUGCAGUGGGUACGGGCAGACUAGAGUGCGGUAGGGGAGAUUGGAAUUCCUGGUGUAGCGGUGGAAUGCGCAGAUAUCAGGAGGAACACCGAUGGCGAAGGCAGAUCUCUGGGCCGUAACUGACGCUGAGGAGCGAAAGCAUGGGGAGCGAACAGG